UACAGAGGUCCCAAGCGUUGUUCGGAUUCACUGGGCGUAAAGGGUGCGUAGGUGGCUGGGUAAGUUUGAUGUGAAAGCUCGGAGCUUAACUCCGAAAUGGCAUUGAAUACUUCCUAGCUUGAGGGUCGGAGGGGAGACUGGAAUUCUCGGUGUAGCAGUGAAAUGCGUAGAUAUCGAGAGGAACACCAGUGGCGAAGGCGAGUCUCUGGACGACUCCUGACACUGAGGCACGAAAGCUAGGGGAGCAAACAGG
rnacentral:rRNA from 1 species